GCCCUUGUAGCGUAGUGGUAGCGCAUUCCACUUGUAUUCUCUGUUUUGAGUUUGCAGGUCUUGCACAUGGAAAGGUCCUGUGUUCAAUCCACAGCUGGGGCU
rnacentral:tRNA from 1 species